rnacentral:rRNA from 1 species
AACGAACGCUGGCGGCAUGCCUAACACAUGCAAGUCGAACGAGACCUUCGGGUCUAGUGGCGCACGGGUGCGUAACGCGUGGGAAUCUGCCCUUGGGUUCGGAAUAAACUCAGAGAAAUUUGAGCUAAUACCGGAUGAUGACGUAAGUCCAAAGAUUUAUCGCCCAAGGAUGAGCCCGCGUAGGAUUAGCUAGUUGGUGAGGUAAAGGCUCACCAAGGCGACGAUCCUUAGCUGGUCUGAGAGGAUGAUCAGCCACACUGGGACUGAGACACGGCCCAGACUCCUACGGGAGGCAGCAGUGGGGAAGUAUUGGACAAUGGGCGAAAGCCUGAUCCAGCAAUGCCGCGUGAGUGAUGAAGGCCUUAGGGUUGUAAAGUCCUUUUAACGGGGAAGAUAAUGACGGUACCCGUAGAAUAAGCCCCGGCUAACUUCGUGCCAGCAGCCGCCGCCGUAAC